rnacentral:rRNA from 1 species
UUUAGCACCAUUCACCCUGCAGCCCAAAACUGGUUGCCCACUGAAGCUAAGCAGGGCUGAGCCUGGUCAGUACCUGGAUGGGAGACCUCUUGGGAAAACUAGGUUGCUGCUGGAA